AUUGAACGCUGGCGGAAUGCUUUACACAUGCAAGUCGAGCGGCAGCGCGGGGGCAACCCUGGCGGCGAGCGGCGAACGGGUGAGUAACAUAUCGGAACGUACCCAGUCGUGGGGGAUAACUAUCCGAAAGGAUAGCUAAUACCGCAUACGUCCUGAGGGAGAAAGCGGGGGAUCGCAAGACCUCGCGCGAUUGGAGCGGCCGAUAUCGGAUUAGCUAGUUGGUGGGGUAAAGGCUCACCAAGGCGACGAUCCGUAGCGGGUCUGAGAGGACGACCCGCCACACUGGAACUGAGACACGGUCCAGACUCCUACGGGAGGCAGCAGUGGGGAAUUUUGGACAAUGGGGGCAACCCUGAUCCAGCCAUUCCGCGUGAGUGAAGAAGGCCUCGGUGUAAG
rnacentral:rRNA from 1 species